rnacentral:rRNA from 1 species
GACGAACGCUGGCGGCGUGCUUAACACAUGCAAGUAGAACGGAAAGGCCCUGCUUUUGUUGGGUGCUCGAGUGGCGAACGGGUGAGUAACACGUGGGUAACCUGCCCUUGACUUUGGGAUAACUUCAGGAAACUGGGGCUAAUACCGGAUAGGAGCACCUGCUGCAUGGUAGUGGCUGGAAAGUUUCGGUGGCUGGGGUUGGACGCGCGGCUUAUGAGCUUGUUGGUGGGGUAGUGGCUUACCAAGGCUUUGACGGGUAGCCGGCCUGAGAGGGUGACCGGCCACAGUGGGACUGGGAUACGGCCCAGACUGCUACGGGAGGCAGCAGUGGGGAAUAUUGCACAAUGGGCGGAAGCCGGAUGCAGCAACGCCGCGUGCGGGAUGACGGCCUUCGGGGUGGAAACCGCUUGCGCCUGUAACGAAGCGUGAGUGACGGUAAUGGGUAAAGAAGCACCGGCUAACUACGUG